rnacentral:rRNA from 1 species
UACGUAGGGGGCAAGCGUUGUCCGGAAUCAUUGGGCGUAAAGAGCGUGUAGGCGGCCCGGUAAGUCCGCUGUGAAAGUCGGGGGCUCAACCCUCGGAUGCCGGUGGAUACUGUCGGGCUCGAGUACGGAAGAGGCGAGUGGAAUUCCUGGUGUAGCGGUGAAAUGCGCAGAUAUCAGUAGGAACACCUAUUGCGAAGGCAGCUCGCUGGGACGUUACUGACGCUGAGACGCGAAAGCGUGGGGAGCAAACAGG